rfam:Oryza sativa (indica cultivar-group) chromosome 7, whole genome shotgun sequence.
AAAAAGACAAAUUCUAGGUUUCCAUAUCCAACUUUGACUGUCCGUUUUAUAUGAAAUUUUUUAUAAUUCAUACUUUUAUUGUUGUUAGAUGAUAAAACAUGAUUAAUAUUUUAUGCAUGAAUUAUCUUUUUAAUUUUUUUAUAAUUUUUUCAAAUAAGACGAACGGUCAAACGUUGGGCGCGAAAACCAAGAUUUGUCUUUUUU